rnacentral:rRNA from 1 species
UUUAGUUAGAGUUUGAUCCUAGCUCAGGAUGAACGCUGGCGACAUGGAUAAGGCAUGCAAGUCGAACGGAAACAUUUGAGAUUAUAUCAAUUUUGUUUUAGUGGCGAACGAGGUAGUAAUAUAUAGGUACGUCCCCCAAAGUCGAGAAUAACUCAUCGAAAGAUGAGCUAAUACUCGAUAGUCUCUACGGAGUAAAGUUUUAACGCUUUGGGAACGGUCUGUACGAUAUCAGCUAGUUGGUAGGGUAAUGGCCUACCAAGGCAACGACGUCUAGAGGAGCUGAGAGGCUGACCCUCACCGAUGGAACUGAGACACGGUCCAUACACCUACGGGUGGCUGCAGUCGAGAAUCUUCCGCAAUGGGCGCAAGCCUGACGGAGCGAUGUCGCGUGAUUGAUGAAGUCCUUCGGGAUGUAAAGGUCUUUUAUGAGGGAGAAAGUUAUUGAUAGUACCUCAUGAAUAAGGGGUUGCUAAACUCGUGCCAGCAGCAGCGGUAAUACGAGUGCCCCAAGCGUUAUCCGGAAUUAUUGGGUGUAAAGGGUGUGUAGGAGGUUGUAUUAGUCGUAUGUCAAAACUCUGGGCUUAACCUAGAAUCUGCACGCGAAACGGUACAACUAGAGGACGCGAGAGAUGUGUAGAACUCAUAGUGUAGGGGUGAAAUCCGUUGAUAUUAUGGGGAAUACCAAAAGCGAAGGCAGCACAUUGGCGCGCUCCUGACUCUGAAACACGAAAGCGUGGGUAGCGAAUGAGAUUAGAUACCUCAGUAGUCCACGCCCUAAACGAUGUUCAUUUGCUUUUCGGAGUAUCGACCCUCUGAGAGGCGUAGCUAACGCGUUAAAUGAACCACCUGGGUAUUACGACCGCAAGGUUAAAACUCAAAGGAAUAGACGGGGACUUGCACAAGCAGUGGAUUAUGUGGUUUAAUUCGAUGGUAAACGAAGAACCUCACCAGGGUUUGAAACCCACGUGAAAGCUCCUAGAAACAGGAGCCCUCGCAAGACUAGUGGACAGGUGCUGCAUGGCCGUCGUCAGUUCGUGGUUUGAAUUGUUCCCUUCAGUGGGGUAACGAACGCAACCCUCGUCGUGUGUUACAAGUGUCACACGAGACUGCCCCCUCUCGGGGGAGGAAGGUGAGGAUGACGCCAGGUCAGCAUGGCCCUUUGAUACCCUGGGCUACACACAUAAUACAAUCGCCGUUACAACACGACGCAAUACCGUAAGGUGGAGCAAAUCGUUAGAAAAACGGCGCCAGUUCGGAUUGAGGUCUGCAACUCGACCUCAUGAAGCCGGAAUUGCUAGUAAUCGCGGGUCAGAUAUACCGCGGUGAAUACGUUCUCAAGUCUUGUACUCACAAUAAAAGCGCGCAGCUGGAUAUAGCGCUAAGUCGUUAAAAUCGACUCCUUC